AAAAACAAAGUUGACAUUUUCACUCAGAUUAACACUAGUUAUGUAAUGUAUUAUCAGUAAGCAUAACCAAAGUUUUUAUUAUUCAUUCAUAUAUUUUUUACUACCUUUGAUUAGCUUGCAAUGCACACUUGAGAAUAUCUUCACGGACAAUAAGCCAUGCUUCUCGCAUUAUUGACAGAUAGUAUGCUUGCCUUCCAAAUCUUGUGUUUGGCCUGAUAGGAGUUGCAUUAGGAUGGAGAUAAUUGUAAAGUGGAAGAAUGAUAAUUUCAUAAUAAUGGAUGAAUAGUCCAGAGUGUGCACUCUUGCCCAUGUGGAAGUUAGCUGUGAAAGAACACACAUGAGGUUUACAAUCAACAAGGUGAAUGUUUUCAAGCCGUAGUCCUCCCUCAACUUUUGCAUAUGGUGCGACUGGAAACCUGUUGYUAUGAAGUGGGAAUUUCAGUCUGAGCAAUCAACCCAGCAUCAGUGUCAUCKCUGGAAUGUAACCAGUAUGCAAAGUUGUGUGUAGCCGUAGAUGUUUUCUCUUGCGUUGACAU